GACACGUAUGGACACUGAGGUAGACACGUAUGGACACUGAGGUAGACACGUAUGGACACUGAGGUAGACACGUAUGAACACUGAGGUAGACACGUAUGAACACUGAAGUAGACACGAAAAAGACUGCAAUUGGUAGAAUAGACAAUAUCAACAUAUCUUUGUAAAAUAUGGUGGAUAAUAUAUCGAGUUUCGAAAAAUGUUUGAAAAAUAAUGAACUAUUUCUGCAGGCGGCUUUAGUUGGUUAUUUCUUAUUCAGCGAUGGUUUCGAGAACACCUGUAAUGGACCCAUUACAAUAAGAACUUGAAAUUGUGGUCAUUAUUGCAUUGAUGCUCUGACCUAAAGCGUGCUGAUACUAUUUCCCCGGCUUCGUUUGCCUUUGAAUCUUUUCUUCAUUUUAAGUACUUCCUGUUGUACUAAAUAUUUCCGCGUUUUUUUCAAUGAGUUUUUCUUCUUUUUACCGGUAAAAAUACAUAUAUAAAAUAUCACCUUAUAACGGCCCAUUCCUGGCUUGACUUCGGUGGUAAUACAGUGGACCCAGUCUAGUUUGGUUGGAACGACAUUUUUCUUUCUUUAACAGCAUGACGAGUUUCUGUCAGACCUUACUUAUCGGAUGUGGAGUGAUGGUAUUUUUAAAUCUGGCCGUGCCUGUCACCAGCCGCCGUGGCUCUGGGUACCGGAUCCGUUCCUCUUCCAGUAGCAGUUAUGGGACAUAUGACACCGGAUUGUCAAGUGGAGCGAAGAUUGCGAUAUUUAUUGGGACCUCAGUUGGGAUGCUGAUGCUCGUGGCGUGUAUCAAAUCAUGGUGUUCUUCCAUGAUAAAUAGGACGUCUACGAGACCAAGCGCUGUCUAUGUAUGAGAUAAACAAUGUAUCGGACAAUAUUGUUCAGGAUAUCCCGAGGUAACCGUCUGUGGAUCCUGGAUUUGUACCUAAACUCACAGAAUCAUUAAUAUGACCAGGAAAACACCAGUGACAACCAAAAAAUGUAACAGAAUGAGACGUGUUAAAACAAUGGAUUUACAAUGUAUUUAAAGUUAUUUAUACAGCGGAAAAAUCACUUAAAUGUUGUUAUCGGUUUUUUAGACAGAAGUGUGUCCGGAAACCUGUAUGCUUUGUGUAUUCAAAAUUUGAUGCAAGAGCUUCUUUGGAGGUUUAAAUUAAAAGCUUAACUGUAAAGGUUUUGCGCGUCGUUCUCCCUUUCUGAGCAAUUACACGUCAUCUUCGCCAACUACAGAACAAAAUACCGCCAGAACUCAGCCACACAGAGAAUGGCUUUACAGAACAAAAUACCGCCAGAACUCAGCCACACAGAGAAUGGCUAUCUACAUUUUUCGCAGGGUAAAACACUAAAUCAGCCCCAUAAAACCCGGAAUCACGCAAAAAGUCAU